rnacentral:SRP_RNA from 1 species
GCCGGGCAUGGUGGUGCGUGCCUGUAAUCCCAGCUGCUUGGGAGGCUGAGGCAGGAGAAUUGCUUGAACCCAGGAGGCGAAUGGUGCAGUGAGCCCAGAUUGCGCCACCGCACUCCAGCCUGGGUGACAGAGCGAGAGUCAGUCUCAA